rnacentral:rRNA from 1 species
CGGACCGGCGCACGGGUGAGUAACGCGUAUGCAACUUACCUAUCAGAGGGGGAUAACCCGGCGAAAGUCGGACUAAUACCGCAUGAAGCAGGGGCCCCGCAUGGGGAUAUUUGCUAAAGAUUCAUCGCUGAUAGAUAGGCAUGCGUUCCAUUAGGCAGUUGGCGGGGCAACGGCCCACCAAACCGACGAUGGAUAGGGGUUCUGAGAGGAAGGUCCCCCACAUUGGUACUGAGACACGGACCAAACUCCUACGGAAGGCAGCAG